GUUCUUUGACAGGCUCUGAAUUCUUGAAGAAAAAGAUUCCAUAGCUAAAUUGUCUGGGAAGCACAUCCCUUAAUAGCUCCCUACCUCAGUUUCCUUAAUGGCCAAAUGAGCAAGAAGCACAGGGAAGGAUGCUGGAGGUUACUGGGAAGCAUGCUACAUCUUCUCGGAGCCACAGACUUGAUGACUGUGGAAGAGAGAGUGACAUUGUGCAGCUCUGCCUCUCUUCAAUCCAAAAACAUCACCCAUGAUGUCAUGCUGGUCCACUUUGAGUACAAAGAACAACAACCAACCAACCAAGUUCCCCGGCUUUGGAUCCAUAAAACCCAAUAAAUGAAGAAACUAAGGCCUGUGGAGUGAAAGUUGAUGGGCCUAAAAUUAACCUCCGGCCCCAAAUGUUUCCCAGCACAUAACUAUCUUCCUUAUCACCCCCCUUGAUGGAUGUUUGCCAGAUGCUUCCUGACCCCCUGACCCUAACAUCCCCCUUGAUGACAUAUGUUCCCAGACCCCCUUCUCCAGAAACCCUAUAAAAAACCUUGGCUAAGAAAACCAAAGGGUCAGUCAGGCAAACCUCUCUGCCGACUGAUCCUAGCAUCAUUGCUAGUCAAUAAA